rnacentral:rRNA from 2 species
UACGGAAGAUGCGAGCGUUAUCCGGAUUUAUUGGGUUUAAAGGGAGCGUAGGCGGGCUUUUAAGUCAGCGGUCAAAUGUCACGGCUCAACCGUGGCCAGCCGUUGAAACUGCAAGCCUUGAGUCUGCACAGGGCACAUGGAAUUCGUGGUGUAGCGGUGAAAUGCUUAGAUAUCACGAAGAACUCCGAUCGCGAAGGCAUUGUGCCGGGGCAUAACUGACGCUGAGGCUCGAAAGUGCGGGUAUCAAACAGG